GACGAACGCUGGCGGCGUGCUUAACACAUGCAAGUCGAACGGAAAGGCCUCUUUCGGGGGGUACUCGAGUGGCGAACGGGUGAGUAACACGUGAGUAACCUGCCCCUGACUUUGGGAUAACUUCAGGAAACUGGGGCUAAUACCGGAUAGGAGCUCCUGCUGCAUGGUGGGGGUUGGAAAGUUUCGGCGGUUGGGGAUGGACUCGCGGCUUAUCAGCUUGUUGGUGGGGUAGUGGCUUACCAAGGCUUUGACGGGUAGCCGGCCUGAGAGGGGGACCGGCCACAUUGGGACUGAGAUACGGCCCAGACUCCUACGGGAGGCAGCAGUGGGGAAUAUUGCACAAUGGGUGGAAGCCUGAUGCAGCAACGCCGUGUGCGGGAUGACGGCCUUCGGGUUGUAAACCGCUUUCGCUCAUGACGAAGCUUUGUGUGACGGUAGUGGGUAAAGAAGCACCGGCUAACUACGUG
rnacentral:rRNA from 1 species